UGCUGCAAGACAGGCUCUGGAUAGCACAACACGGACAACUUUCUCCCUUGUGAUUUUCUGAGAGGAUCUGCUCGUUUGGAUUAUAUUCUUUUAUGACUAUUAAAUACUAUCAUAUAGAAAAUACUCGUGCGUCUUAAUUCUGUGUAACUCCAACAGCUGCGUUGUUUGAUAUUUCAGUAAACUGUGCUGAAGUUUGAAGCCUGUUUGUUAGGGGGUGAAGGACAAGUGCAAUGCGCGUCUCCUGGGAUUGUCCCACUUGCGCCUGAGGAGCCAUGUCGAGCUGCCGCACAGAGCCUGUUCAAGAGGACGCAGUCCAAUGUGAAUAACAAAAGUCAACGUCCAGGCUCUUAAGCUUUUCACAGUUACAAACAAGUGCAGCAACGGAGUCUGACUGAGUCCGCUGAGCAGCUCUGACACCCCGGUUUCUCUCCCCGAGGGGAUGGUUGUGGAUCCUGUGGGGCCAGGAGCGAUUCUGCGGCUCCUACAGAAUUACACAUAUUUCUUGAUUGGGGUUAAAUCUAAAUUAAAGGGAGAUGAGAGCCGCACUUUGCUACUUCCUGCUGUGGACGACGUACCUGCUGCUGGCCACCUCUGAGGAAGUGGAGUUUCCCCAGGAGCUGAUAGACAGGCUGUCCCACAGUGAAAUCCACAGCAUCAGCGACCUCCAGCGGCUACUGGACAUUGACUCCAUAGGUACGGGAAAUGAUGUUAUCAAGGAGCCCAAGCACCACAAACACCACAACCACCAUAAGAACUACUCCCGUAGUCAUGGUUACUACAAUGACCUGAAGACCUCCCAGCUCCACACCCGACGCAAGAGGAGCAUCGUGGAGGAGGCGGUCCCGGCGGUGUGUAAGACGCGGACGGUGAUCUACGAGAUCCCCAGGAGCCAGGUGGAUCCCACAUCUGCCAACUUCUUGAUAUGGCCGCCCUGUGUGGAGGUGAAGCGCUGCACGGGCUGUUGCAACACAAGCAACAUGCGCUGUCAUCCUUCCCGUAAGCACCACCGCACCGUUAAGGUAGCAAAGGUGGAGUACGUGAAGAGGAGGCCCAAGCUGAAAGAGGUCUUUGUGCGUUUGGAAGACCACCUGGAGUGUGUGUGCACGUCACAUCAUCAUGUGGUGGAGCAUUCAGAUGCAGAAAUAGGCCAUCGUAGGGCUAACGGUAAAAAAAGGAAACCUAAAAAGCUAAGGCCCAACAAGGAUUUAUUGGCGACAUAAUAGAGUUGCACUCAUUACCUAAAGUCCACUGGAGAGCUGUGAAGGGAACAGUGGACGUGAGGUGAGACAAAUCAGAACAAGGGACUUCAGCGUGGGAGGGAUCUAAAUAGAGGAUGCUGCCAACAGGAGACCUGCUGUGUCCUCAUUCCCACUGCCAUUCAACCUUCAUUUAAAAAACAGACUUUUCUGUUAGAAGAGAGACUGAAAAUACACAGACAAAAAUAAUUAAAAUGCCAAAAGUGCUUUUUUUUAAAAAAAAAACAGUAACCAGUGAUGAUGACUUCCUCUGUAGCAUGCCACCUAACCAGACAACUGAACCCUGCCGCUGAUUAAGAAAAAAAGAGAAAGAUGCUGUAGAGCUCAGGCAGGGCAGAAAGAGGCCGAAGGGAGAUGAUGAAAGGGAUUUGAGUUGAACUUUUUACAGACUUUGUUUGAACAAGACGGACAACAGAAACGGCUAUGAAACAGUUGGAUCAAGCUUUCGUGGGAAUCUGGUGCUCAGACUCCAAAACAGCAGUGAAUGACCUCCAGCUGGGCAACAUAAAAGUGCCCUGCCCUGUUUGAAUGACUUGCAUACACAGGAAGAAAGAAGGACAGAUAUAGGAAAAACAAUGGAAAGAGAGAGAGACAAAUGGAGGUGUUUUUCUUUCUUCAAAAGACUCUCUAUGGACUACCAAACAUUUUGAGUUUUUGGAUGUUUGCUCUGAGUAAAGAGGAAAUCUUCUCUGACACCCCUGAUGGUCUGUGACUUUGCCCACUUCCAAUGUACAGUUAAAUUUGAGAAGGAAGAUGCGCCGCUACUUACAAACUAUUUAUACGCACAGACAUUUGCUUUCUGUGUCUUACAAUACAAAAGAAAGAACAAAAAAGAUAUCUUAAUGAUUUGGAGACAUGCAAGAGUUCAGUGUGGUCUGGUUCUUUGUAACCAUAAGUAUCACAAUCUCAAUGUCUGUUUUGUUUUUUUAGUCAAUGUUAUUCUUAUCAUCCAUGUUUCUUAUUAUAUUACAGUAUAUCUGAAUUAUGUCAAGUCUUGUAUAUGGUUUGGAUAUAUGUGCGCAAGGAGGAGAUGUGAGAGUCAGUACAGGAAGAUGCUUUAUUUUUGUUAUGAAAUAUAUUAAGCUUACUUAUAUCCAAGCAGGAAUUAUGUUUAUUUCUUUUAUUGUGGUUGAAUGCCUGUAUUUAAUCCAUUGGAAAAGAUGCAAAAAUGUGGGCAGGUUUUGAGAUAGAUGAGGGAGAAAAGGCUGCCAGUGCUUGCUGGCCUGUGUACAUCAAUGCGUCACAGCUGUGAAGAGAGGGGAUAGAGAGGCUCAAACAUGGCAACUUAUCAGUGAGUGGCCUUACUGUAGCUUAUUCUACCGCCAUGAUUACCACUGUCCAAUCCUUAAUGUAAGAAGUGAUAUUUCAUAUAAACAUGCAUACAGCACAUUAAAGUGUGUGCCAAUCAUGCCAAUCACACAAUAUAAUGUUCGAGCACUCUAGUGUGCAUGUAUGCCUGUAUGGGUUGGGAUAGACAGGGUGUGUGUGCUCUCACACAAGAUUUCUCCUCUACAAGAGGCUAUUUUUCACCCAUAUCACUUUAAAAUUGAUAAGGAGGAUGCCGGCCCACUCUGCCUUACAAGCACACAUGUUGUGCCUGCAAAGAGUAAAGUCCACCUUAAAGAGUGAAUGAGCGAGCACAGCAAAUCGACAAGUGUAUGAAUGGGCUCCUUGUUUAGCCAGGCAAUACUCUUUGUUGACAGGAGAACAAAUCACUCCACCUUGGGAAGGUACUCACACCUUAUGCAGCCACAUACCGUCAGGACAGAUGAUGUUGCGUGCUCUGAGGUGGCCUGAAAAACCGUACAGCUGGACUGCACUCGUGCCCCGAUGGAACAAACAUCCCCACCAGUUUCUGUAACAGUAAUGAACGUGUAACCAGGCCAACACGGUACAAAAGUAGCGGUCGUCUUCCACCCUGUGUUCAAAUGAGGAAAUCACUUUGAGUGAGUCACUGCACUGUGAAGUGAGUCAGGUGAAAGUCAAACGAGAAACGUUUGUUGAAACAUGGCUGUAUCGGCUGACUUGUGGACAUCAGAUCACACACAAACACACCCAGCCCACCUGUGAAUGAACUAGCCAUCAGUUGACUGGUGCUAUAUUUAUAAAGCUGAUGUUUCAUCACUGUUCACAUUCACAUUUAUAUCAAUGUAAGAUAGUGUUCUUAGUAAACCAGGGACCACACUUAGAGCUAUUUGAUUAAAAAAAAUGCCAUUACACUAUCACCAAGCCUUCAUUACUUUUCUUUUGGGCUUCCAUUGGAUAAAGACAGCAAUAAUCAUAAUUUAUAUAUUUAUGUUUUCAACAAUAAAUAUAUUUCUGCUUAUGAAAAUGUU